rnacentral:rRNA from 1 species
AUUGAACGCUGGCGGCAUGCCUUACACAUGCAAGUCGAACGGUAACAGGUCUUCGGAUGCUGACGAGUGGCGAACGGGUGAGUAAUAGUAUCGGAACGUGCCCAGUCGUGGGGGAUAACGCAGGCGAAAGCUGUGCUAAUACCGCAUACGAUCUAUGGAUGAAAGCGGGGGAUCGCAAGACCUCGCGCGAUUGGAGCGGCCGAUAUCAGAUUAGGUAGUUGGUGGGGUAAAGGCCCACCAAGCCAACGAUCUGUAGCUGGUCUGAGAGGACGACCAGCCACACUGGAACUGAGACACGGUCCAGACUCCUACGGGAGGCAGCAGUGGGGAAUUUUGGACAAUGGGCGCAAGCCUGAUCCAGCAAUGCCGCGUGCAGGAUGAAGGCCUUCGGGUUGUAAACUGCUUUUGUACGGAACGAAAAGGCUCUGGUUAAUACCUGGGGCUCAUGACGGUACCGUAAGAAUAAGCACCGGCUAACUACGUG